rnacentral:rRNA from 1 species
GGUCCAGACUCCUACGGGAGGCAGCAGUAGGGAAUAUUGCUCAAUGGGGGAAACCCUGAAGCAGCAACGCCGCGUGGAGGAUGAAGGUUUUAGGAUUGUAAACUCCUUUUGUAAGAGAAGAUUAUGACGGUAUCUUACGAAUAAGCACCGGCUAACUCCGUGCCAGCAGCCGCGGUAAUACGGAGGGUGCAAGCGUUACUCGGAAUCACUGGGCGUAAAGAGCGCGUAGGCGGGAAAGCAAGUCAGAUGUGAAAUCCUGUGGCUUAACUACAGAACUGCAUUUGAAACUGCCUUUCUAGAGUAUGGGAGAGGUAGGUGGAAUUCUUGGUGUAGGGGUAAAAUCCGUAGAGAUCAAGAGGAAUACUCAUUGCGAAGGCGACCUGCUGGAACAUUACUGACGCUGAUGCGCGAAAGCGUGGGGAGCAAACAGGAUUAGAUACCCUGGUAGUCCACGCCCUAAACGAUGAAUGCUAGUUGUUGCCCUGCUUGUCAGGGCAGUAAUGCAGCUAACGCAUUAAGCAUUCCGCCUGGGGAGUACGGUCGCAAGAUUAAAACUCAAAGGAAUAGACGGGGACCCGCACAAGCGGUGGAGCAUGUGGUUUAAUUCGAAGAUACGCGAAGAACCUUACCUAGGCUUGACAUUGAUAGAAUCCGCUAGAGAUAGUGGAGUGUCUAGCUUGCUAGACCUUGAAAACAGGUGCUGCACAGCA